CUUUUUUUAAAUUUCAAAAUGGUGAAUAUAUACCUAAAAGCUAUUCAAAAGAUGAUUAUCAUAUUAAAAAAUUAAAAAAAAAAAAAAUAAAUAAUAAAUUGUAUGGUUUACUAUCGGAUAAUAUCGAAUCUGAUAAAAUAUCAUCCGAUGGCACUUAUUUAGAUGAUGACAUUGGUGAUGGCAUUGGUGAUGAAACUUUAAACGUUACGACAGAAAAAAAUAUACACAACCAUAAUAACGAACAUGACAAACAUGAUGAACAUGACAAACAUGAACAUGAACAUGAACAUGAACAUGAACAUGAACAUGAACAUGAACAUGACAAACAUGAACAUGACAAACAUGAACAUGACAAACAUGAACAUGACAAACAUGAACAUGACAAACAUGAACAUGAACAUGAACAUGAACAUGACAAACAUGAACAUGAACAUGAACAUGACAAACAUGAACAUGAACAAGAACAUGACAAACAUGAACAAGAAGAAAAACAACUAAAUUAUAAAAAUAUUUAUGAAAGGAAAGAUAAAAAAAAAAAAAAAAAAAAAGGAGUUAUGUUUUCAGAUGAAAUAGAAGAUAUACAAUUUUUAAAAGAAGAAGAAAACAAAAAAGAUGAUGAUGAUAAUGUGUAUAUAAAAAAUAAUAAUACCUAUAGUGCUGAUAUUAUGGAAACACACCUAAACAAAUCUAAUCAAGAAGAAAAAGAAAAAGAAAAGGAACAUAUAACAGAUUUGGAUGAAAAUGAAAAAGACAAAUCGAUAAAAAAAAAAAAAAAAAAAGUACUUUUUUUCGAUGAACAAUACUCUUCUGGUGAUGUAAAGGCAGAGUUUAAUACCUUUACAGAACACAAUUCCCAGAAUAAUUUAAAACCUAUAAAAGAAGAAAACAAAAAAAAAAAUAAAAUAACGUUUGCGGAUGAAGUAGAAAUAUUGGAUGAUAAUAAAAACCUAAAUGAAAAGAAACCAAUAGUUCCUGCGAUUAAAAAAAAAGGAGUGACAUUUAAAGAUAAUUAUAUAAAAACAUUUAGUGAGGAUACAGCAAUAAAGCCUAAAAAAAAAAUUAAAAAAUCAGUUAAUUUUUCAUUCGAGGUAAUAGGUGGCGACUCUUAUAACGAUGAUAAAAAAAAUACAAAAGAUUCAGUUGGGUUUAACCAAGCAGAAAAUGAAAAAAAAGACGAUUAUACAAAUGUGGGUGAUGAUAAAAAUGGAAUACAUGUCAAAAAUGGAAUACAUGUCAAAAAUGGAAUACAUGUCGGUACAAAACCGUCUGAACAAAAAGAUAUAGAAGUAAAAAGUAAUGUAUGUUUUAUAAACAAUAACGACAAUAACCAUGACCAAUUUAAUAUCGAACAAAACGAAUUGGAAAAUAAAAAUAUAGUUCUUAAUUAUGAACAACAAACAAAUAACGAUAACGACGAUACUUUAUGUAAUAAGAGUAGCAACAUGGAUUCAUGUGAUUUUGGAAAACAAAAAAAAAAUAAAAUAACAUUUGAUGAUAAUGUUAAUUACGAUGAUGAAAAAAUUGAAGAACAAAACGAAAGUAGAAAUAAAAAAAUAGAAGAUAAAAAAAAUGAGAAUAAAAAUGAGAAUAAAAAUGAGAAUGAAAAUAAAAACACAUUGUUUCUAAACAAAACAAGUAUACAUAACAACUUACACUUAGACAUAUGUGACAAAUCCGACAACAUAUUAUAUGCAAGAAACUUUAGUGAUUCAACAGUUAAUUAUAGUAUAAAAAUUGAGAAUACAGAAAUGGGUUCGCAAGAAAAAAAAGAAAACAAUAAAGAAGAGAUUAAUAUUAAUAAAAUUAGAAGCUUUGAAAAACCUGAACAGUUGUUUAUACGUCAAAGAAAAAAAACAAAAUCGUAUUAUAAAAAUGAGUUAAAUAAACCUUUAAUAAAUAUUAAUAACUUAAAUGUAUUACUUCAAGAUAUCAUGUCACCCGAAUUGACAGAACCUACUUUGCUGAAUGGUGAAAACAAUGAUAACGAUAUCAGUUUUUUUGAUAAAAUUAAUCAACAAUAUGAGGAAAUGGAAGAAAAUAAAAACAAAAAAAUUGACAUGGAGAAUCCUGCUAACCCCCACAUAAAAGGCAUAGCAACAACAGAUAAUAAUAAUAAUAUCAACAGCAACAACAACAAUAUCAACAGCAGCAACAACAAUAUCAACAGCAACAACAACAAUAUCAACAGCAACAAUAUCAACAACAACAAUAUCAACAGCAACAACAACAAUAACAACAACAACAAUAUCAACAGCAACAACAACAACAACAAUAACAAUAACAAUAACAACAACAACAACAACAACAACAACAACGCCACCGCCAACGGCACCACCAACAACAAUAACAACAACAAUAACAACAACAAUGAUAGUACUAAACAAGAAACCAAAUUUUUGCUAAAUGGUUUAAAACUUGAAGUACAAAAUGAAAAAAAAAAUAUAAAUAUAAAACUUAAUGAUACAGAAAAUUCAUUUUUAUCAAAUAUAAAAGAAAAAAAUGAUAAUAAUAUUCUUUUUCCUGAGUGUUCAGAAAAAAAAGAAUAUAAUAAAAUUGAUAAAUGUUUAUUAUCAUGUAACAAAAAUAUAGAUAAUUUAAAAAAGAAAAAGCAAGAACUAUGUGUGCCUGAUGUUUUUGAAAAUGACCAUAAACAAAAUUUAAGCAAUAGUUGUAAUAAUAAUAAUAUUUGUAUUUUAAAAGAAGAUUUCAACAGUUCAAAAGAAGAAUAUAAUAAUGGCAGCGGUAAUAACAGUGGUAAUAGUAGCGGUAAUAGUAGCGGUAAUAACAGUGGUAGCCCAAGUGAUAACCCAAGUGAUAAACCAAGUGGUAACCCAAUUAAUAACAAUAAUAUGUGUUUAUAUGUACGUGGAAGGAAAAAGAUGAAGUCUUCGUUCCAUGCACGUGGUGAUAUGAUAAUUGGAGCACAUAAAGAAGCUAUACAUAAAGAACAAAUAAAUGAAUUUCUUAAACAAAUAAGUAAAGAAAUAGACAUAUCCAGCUAUUAUGAUAAUGAAAACGAAGAAACAUAUAAUAUUAACGAAUUAGAUAAAGAAAAUAUUACGAAAGUUGAUAAUCAUAGUAAUAAUAACACUAGUAGUAGUGACAAUAAUAUUAAAUUAUAUAAUCCCAAAAUAAAUUAUAAUAGUAAACAGAAUUGUGAAACACACAAAAUAACAAACACAGAAGACAUAAACACAGAAAACACAAACACAGAAAACACAAACACAGAAAACACAAACACAGCAGAAAAAAAACUUUCUGUAUCAUCCAGUAGCAGUUCAGAAAAACAUACACGUAAACCUAAAUUUAAAAAACUUGCUAAACUUAUUAAGCCAUUUAAGUUUCAAGAUUUAAUAAAAUUGUAUAGUGAUAUAAGCGAACAUACAUUAAACACUGAUGUAUCCUCUGAAUUAAAUCCAGAAGUAUACAUUGAAGGAAAAAACGAAGAGGGAAAAAUAACAAGUGAAGAUGUACAGAAAAAAAUAAGUGGAAUUUCUAAAACAGAAGAAGAGGAAGAAGAAAAGCUUUUGAAGCUCCAAAGCAACAAAAGCCUUGAAAUAAAUAAAAAUAUUAAUUUAAAUGGAGAAGUAAACGAAAAAAUAGAACCAGAAAAUAUAUUAAGAGAGAGUGAAACACAGUUAAAUAAUAGUAAUAAUGAAACAAAUAAUAUGAAUAAGUUUUUGACAAAAAGUAGUACUAUUACUAACCAGAUUGAAAAACCAGAAUUUAUAAAAAAAAUUGAAAAAAUAUAUACAACAUUAGCAAAUAAAACAUAUAGUGAUAUUUCUGAAUUAUCAACUAGUGCUGAUAUUGAUACUACGUUUGAUGAUUAUGAUGAUAUUGAUGAUGAAAAUGAUAAUGUUGAUGUACGUGAAUUUCAAAUUAUUGAUAAUACUAGUCCAGCGGAAUAUUAUUAUGAUGCUUUUUAUAAAAGUAAAAUAUCAGAUUCUAAAAAAUUUGCACAUAUCUACUCAAAUAAUAUGAUAUUAGAUGACAAAACAAAUUUGGAUCAUUUACACUCCGUUUUCUUAUUUGGAAACCCUCUAGAAAGAAAUCAAAAAUAUUUAGAAGCACAAGAAAAAAAAAAAAAAUUAUUAAAUGCAAUGAAUGAAUCUAAAACAAACGAUAAUAAUAUAACAAAUACAAAUAACAAUUCCGAACAUACAAAAUUUAAUGAUGGAAAUGAUACUGACAUUUCUAGUACUACUAAUUUUAAAAAUGAAACAAAAAAUCAAUAUUCAAGCAGUGUAGAUUUAUAUGAUCAUGGAAAUAGUUCAACCAAAUUUCGUUCAUCUAGCACAUCUUCGUCAACUUACUUAAAAAAAAGGAAUUAUAAAAAUAGUGACACUUUCAAAAAAUCAUUAAAUAAAUUCAAAAAACCUAUACUAAAAAAAAGCACAAAACCUUUUAAAAUAACUGAGGAUAUGGAAAAUAAGGAAUUAAAUGAAAUAAUGCAAAAAAGUAAUUUUAUGGAUUUAUCGAAAAAAAACUCCGAUAAAAUAGAAGUUAUGAAAAUUAGAAUCCAUGUAUAUCCAAGAAUUCUUCAAAAACAUCAUGUAGAAACAACAUAUACAUUGUUAGGAUGUUUGACAGUUUUUUCGUUUGUUGCUAUUAUAACUGACUUGUUAUUUAAAUAAAAUAUAAAAUUUUAUCAUUUAUUAUAUUUUUAGCCGCUUUUUUUUUUUUUUUUUUUUUUUUUUUUUUUUUUUUUUUUUUUUUUUUAUUCACAGAAUUGUGAAAUGAAAAAUAUAUAUUAUUAUGUUUACUACUGUAUACAGUUUUUAAUCCCAAUUUAUUUGAUUAUUUAAUUUUUAUUAUUUUUGUGCAUACCUUUAUUAUAAUAUAUAUUUAUAUCUAUUCCCCCUCCCACACACACACAUGUAUGUCUUAUUUAUUGGAAUCACAUAUGUAUCAAUCUCAAUAUUAUCUGCCUUUUUUUUAAUUUUUAUCAAGUACUGUACACCUGUACAUGUUUAUAUAUAUACAAGCCACAUGUGUUCAUAUACGUAAACAUUUCUGUGUGCAUUGUUUUUGUGUAUAUAUUUUUUUAACACUGAAUUAUAAAGUUUUUUUAUAUUAUUUGUAUGUACGCUAUACACUUUAUAAUUGUUUUAUUUUUUUGUUAUAUAAUUCAUUUUGCUUCAUGUUACUUUAUUUUUUUGUGUACAAAUUCUUACCAUAUUUUUGUUUUUCUUCAAAGAAAGUUUGUUUUUAAAAUUUGCAUUGAUACUUUUUUUUUAGCAAUAACUUAUGAAAUAAAACAAUUGUUAAUUAAAUUAAGUGAAAAAAA
ensembl:lncRNA